rnacentral:lncRNA from 1 species
GCUGAGCAGUCGUUCAACCACAGACAAACCAACUGGGAGCUCCAGACAGCCCUGCUGCGAGGCGAGCUGGAAAGGAGAAUUAUCGCUGCUGUCUGUCUCCCCUUUACCUUCAGAUCUGAGAAUUAGAGAGUGAGAGGAAAAGAAUGGGGCCAUGUGAGAUCACAUUCAGCCGGUUAAAUGACAGUCUUAAUGUCUGCGUGAAUGAUUAGGUGACGAGAGCUGGCCGAGAGUCCAGACUCAGUGACUGAUGCAGACGUCGGAAAUUACCUCAAGAUGAAGCAAUUCCUCCACCUUCCCCCAUCUCUCCUUCCCUUUCAAGGUUACAGUACUUCAGCUUCAGAUCGAGCCAUGAUUGCAGCAUGCAGCAAGGUGCAGGGAUCAUCCCAGAGGAGCCCACCAGGCCUUCUUACUUGGGUUCUCCAUUGAAUUAG